rnacentral:rRNA from 1 species
GACGAACGCUGGCGGCGUGCUUAACACAUGCAAGUCGAACGGAAAGGCCCUGCUUUUGUGGGGUGCUCGAGUGGCGAACGGGUGAGUAACACGUGAGUAACCUGCCCUUGACUUUGGGAUAACUUCAGGAAACUGGGGCUAAUACCGGAUAGGAGCUCCUGCUGCAUGGUGGGGGUUGGAAAGUUUCGGCGGUUGGGGAUGGACUCGCGGCUUAUCAGCUUGUUGGUGGGGUAGUGGCUUACCAAGGCUUUGACGGGUAGCCGGCCUGAGAGGGUGACCGGGCACAUUGGGACUGAGAUACGGCCCAGACUCCUACGGGAGGCAGCAGUGGGGAAUAUUGCACAAUGGGCGGAAGCCUGAUGCAGCAACGCCGCGUGCGGGAUGACGGCCUUCGGGUUGUAAACCGCUUUCGCCGGUGACGAAGCGUGAGUGACGGUAAUGGGUAAAGAAGCACCGGCUAACUACGUG